AUGUUCCUGAAGAGAGGGAGCAAGAACAAGCAAAAACAGAACAAGUUUUUCCCCAGUCCUCCAUUUUCUCAAAACUUGGAUGGAGCAUUUAUGAAAAACAUCUUUUAACCUGACAGUUUGGGCCUUCUUCUGUUCUGGGGACCAGAAUGGAAACAAACCUGGGACAGACAUGAUUCCUCUAUGGGCAGGGUAUAUAGUCACCGUACAUAAAGAGUACAAAUCAAAGGUUUAAUUUUGCUUUCUACUGAGCAAUGUCACUUUCACCAAUGAAUCCUUGUGCACUUGUUUCUCAGCAUGAAAUUCAAUGUAAGUAUAUUUGUAAAGUCGGAGCUCCCAUCAGAAAACACUUAGAGACUACAACUGGGCUCAUUUGUUUUGGACAAUGUCUGUGACUACAAUUUUUUCCAGCUUUUUUCCAUGACUGGAAAGAAUGAUCAUUACAUACAAAUAAACUGAGAAAAGUACAUCUGUUCUGCUACGUUUAAGUAAAAUGAAACAUCUGAAAACAAUACGUGUCAGAUAAUGGAUUUUGCAGGGGAAGCAAGAGUCCAGAUAACCUUAUUUGUACCCUUCUACAAAAGUAGCUGUUUGAAAAACACCAUUUAUAAGAAAAAAAUAUUUAGAAUCAAGCUGUCACUUGACCAGUCUUUUCUGAUCCUAAGAUUUCACAACUGGCAAUGGCUCAGUCCUUGUGGUUUGGUUGCUUCCUGAAUCCAAUAUAUAUUUACUCCCAUUCAUAGACAAACUGUGCUCAAAGGAGAACUGCAAACUGUCUGGACAAAGUCUGAAAUGAAACCAACUGAAUUAAAAGUGGAGUACCAACACUAUAAUAAAUAAUCACACUCACAUCCACAAACAUUCAUCUGUUCUGCCCCAAAUAAUAACUGGAGAAAAGCAAUUUAUCUACAGAAAGUAAGUCUGAACAGUAAUAUGAAACUUUUAGCUGUGGACAGUUUGUGUAAUUGUCAUUGUCAAAUUCCAGAAAAUUUUCAAUAUAUCCUAUCGUCUCCAUUGUUACUUUUUAAAUUCUACCUUGAGGACUGAAGAACAAACUUGCUGCAAAAUAUCUGCAUGGCUAAUUCCGAUAACAUCCUAGACAAUUCACUGUUAUUUGUUAUCUGGUAGUGCUACUCUCUUCUUCUGCCUACUUUCCAUGAUACAAUGCACCAAAUGGAUGUGAACGAAUACUCAUUCGCCAAAACCAGAAGAGAGGAAAAGGUAACAGUUCUCAAACAUAACAUUUCUAUGGAAGUAGCAAAGUCAGUCAACUACCAAUAAAUACCUUCCAAAAAGAUAUUCUGAGAAAUACAGUCUGAGGCUAGGGACAUAUGUAAAAGCCCUUAAAAUAACCAAAUGUGACUGCACAGCUUGCUCGGAGUAAGGUGCAAUAUUGUCAGAUCAGCACAGUAGAGAUAGUACUUCCCCUCAGCUUGUUCCAUGACACAGCAACAAAUUAUUCCCUUUUUGAGACCAUGGCUAUGCUGACUGUUAAAUUAUGGGUUGGGGUAAUGUUUCUGGUUCCUUGCUCUAAAGAAAUAAGAGAAAAAUGGCAUGGCAACUUUUAGCCACAGUGCAGCUAGAGCAGCUGUUCAUUGGAGCUGUCUGCCAGCUAUUAAAUCAGACCAUAAGCCUCAAGCAAUUAAUAUGCGAGGGACCAAUCCCAGAAUGCAGAUAAAUUUUAAAUAUAAUACAAAAAAUAUAAUUAUAUACUUGCAAUUUAUUGUAGCUGCCAAUCUGUAGGACACAAUCAGACAAAGAUUUUUUAAAUCAUAGGAAUGUUUUAUCUAAUCUUAGUCUCACAGUUGCAGUUAUACUAGAAGAGUUCAGUAAAGACGAAGCUGACUAUGAAGUAUCCACGCUUCUGUGCAGAUACAAGCGCAUCUUACUCAAAAGCCCCGUAAAGAAUCUAGCACAUCUUGUUCUGAGUUAUUUUGCAUGGGAAAGAAGGUAGUUUCUAAUAGAAAGAAAAGCAUUAUAUGACAGUAAUAACAAGAAAAAAAAGACAGAUCAAAAGCAAAGGAAAUUAUAAGGACACAUUGCAUAUAAAUUAAUACUGGUUUUGUUCUUAAAGUAAACGUUUAUGUUGUUAUCAUGAUUUCAAUGGGAUCUAGGUUCUGGAACACAGAACUCCAGCAUCUCUAGAAUGGCUGAAUUUCUUUGGUUUCUUCAAACAACUGAGUAACACUAAGGCAGCAAUACCUUCCUUCGUUCCUCUGUAUAAUUCAUAUCAUUAAUGGAAAUGUUUUUAUCCUUGAUACAGCAACUUCAUAUCUGCUAUUACUCUUAUAGUUUGUAUUUUUGAAUGCAUGACUGGUAAAGAGAACAGAAUUCAGACAGCUGGGUGACCCUGUGCAAAAGACCUAGCUACUUCCAAGUACAGGUGGCAAUUGAUGGGAAAUAUUUGCAUUUACAUUCAAUACCAGUAUGCUAUCUUAACAUGCUGACAUUGUAAUCACUGUGAAUAAGUCUUGCAUCUGUCAAGAAUCUCUUUAGGCUUCCUAGACAUAAAGAACAUUGUGCCUAUUUGUAAUGUAUUCAAAUACUAAUGACAGCUUAAAAUUUCUUUGGACUGGCUGUUUUUGAAAAGGUGCUGAAAAUAGGUGAAACUUCCACCUUCAUUUUCUUUAUGUGCUAUGCUGCUGUGUCUACAUUUUCCAGAAGCCUCCCCCUCUUUCUUUUGCUAAACAAUCUAAUUU